UACGGGGGGGGCAAGCGUUGUUCGGAAUUACUGGGCGUAAAGGGCUCGUAGGCGGCCAACUAAGUCAUACGUGAAAUCCCUCGGCUUAACCGGGGAACUGCGUCUGAUACUGGAUGGCUUGAGUUCGGGAGAGGGAUGCGGAAUUCCAGGUGUAGCGGUGAAAUGCGCAGAUAUCGGGAGGAACACCAGUAGCGAAGGCGGCUCGCUGGGCCGUUCCUGACGCUGAGACGCGAAAGCUAGGGGAGCGAACAGG
rnacentral:rRNA from 1 species